UACGAUGCAUCUAGAUUAGACUUUGAUCCUGGCUCAGAUUGAACGCUGGCGGCAUGCUUUACACAUGCAAGUCGAACGGCAGCGCGGGGCAACCUGGCGGCGAGUGGCGAACGGGUGAGUAAACUACCAGAACAGACCGCUUACGGGGGUGACGGGCGGUGAGUACAAGGUCCGGGAACGUAUUCACCGCGGCAUGCUGAUCCGACUUACUAGCGAUGCCGGCUUCGUGUGGGCGAGUUGCAGCCUACAAUCCGAACUGAGAAUGGCUUUUUUAGAUUAGCUAGCCCUCGCGGGUUUGCGACUCUUUGUACCAUC
rnacentral:rRNA from 1 species